GGAAGGAUCAUUAACACGUAUCCAAACGUAUAAACCCCAUUAUGCGAAACACAAUCCGCGCCCUGACCGUGUCCGAGCCACUCGAUAUGGCUUGGCAGCCUGCAGUUUGGAACGGCUGCAUGGCUGGAGCUCUGUCCUGGUCCUUUUAUUAGGCCCUUGAACAUCCGCAUGGUAGGUGCUGCCUUUUUUUCCACACCAACACCUUCUCUGGUUUGACGGAAAACAAAAAAAAGUCACAGGUUUACUUGUGAUUUUUCUGAGAUAUUGAACGCUGAACAACUUUUAGCAACGGAUAUCUUGGUUCUCGCAACGAUGAAGAACGCAGCGAAAUGCGAUACGUAAUGUGAAUUGCAGAAUUCAGUGAAUCAUCGAAUCUUUGAACGCAAAUUGCGCUUCGGGGAAUCCCCUGGAGCAUGCCUCUUUGAGUAUUGGUUCUACCUUUCUCCUUUACUUUAACUUUAUGUUGGAGUUGAGCCGAGAAGAGAGUGGGCGUCUCGCUGGCAACAGCGCGUCGCCUCAAGUGGACGGCACAGCUCUUCGUGCUGCUGUGUGCGUUGGAAAGAUAGGUCAGCGUGCUUACUUUCUGCCCUCACAGGCUAUUUUUCCCUCGCUGCAGUUGGCCGCCGGAACUUCAAACCUUCUGGCGAGAGACAGUCUCCGAGGGGCCGCAUUGGGGCGCUUCUAAGGCGCUCUGGCGGUCGCUCAACCCUAACAAUACCCAAUCUAAUCUCAAAUGAGGUAAGAGGACCCCCUGAAUUUAAGCAUAUCAUUAAGGGGAGGAAAAGAAACUAACAAGGAUUCCCUCAGUAACGGCGAGUGAAGCGGGAAGAGCUCAAGCUUAAAAUCGGGCGCUUUCGGGCGUUCGAAUUGUAGUCUAGAGAGGUGCGGUCAGCGCGUGGCCCGGAUGUAAGUACUUUGGAACAAGUCUGUCAUAGAGGGUGAGAACCCCGUAUGUCAUUCGGAGACCGCCGCGUACGAUGCGCUUUCGACGAGUCGGGUUGCUUGGGACUGCAGCCCUAAUUGGAUGGUAAAUUUCAUCUAAAGCUAAAUAUUGGCGAGAGACCGAUAGCGAACAAGUACCGUGAGGGAAAGAUGAAAAGAACUUUGAAAAGAGAGUUAAAAAGUGCUUGAAAUUGCUAAAAGGGAAGCGAUGGAAAUCAGUCGUGUGCGCGUAGUCCAGAUUCCUUAGAGCUGCGGCGCAGUGGCGUCGGUCACCGCAAGGGGCCGGCGCUGCGGCAAACACAGCUCCUAGUCUCUGAUUGCGUGCGAGUGUCAGGAUCAUUUCGGCUCGGAGCAGAACCGCUAGGGAAAGGUAGGUUGAAUCGUCCUCGCGGCGUGCAGACUGUUAAGUCCCCUGUAGGUGCUACCGGGCUGGAAUGAGGCCACUUAAUGUGGGCAACGCGCGCCCUUUGGCGAGAUGCAGCUGUCCCGGGGUGUUAGGGUGUGUGGAAUACAAUGCAUUGCCGCGCCCGAAUCGCUUUGCUGGCAGUUGCCACUUUCUGCGUGUUCGCGAUCCUGGCGAAAUGGUUUUCACCGACCCGUCUUGAAACACGGACCAAGGAGUCUAACAUAUAUGCGAGUAUUUGGGUGGUAAACCCUGAUGCGCAAUGAAAGUGAAGGCAAGCGAUUUCGUUUGCUGAGGUGUGAUCCGCAAGGAGCAACAUCGACCGAUCAGUCACUUGUGAAAGAUUUGAGUAAGAGCAUAUCUGUCGGGACCCGAAAGAUGGUGAACUAUGCCUGGACAGGGCGAAGCCAGGGGAAACUCUGGUGGAGGCUCGUAGCGAUACUGACGUGCAAAUCGUUCGUCUGAUCUGGGUAUAGGGGCGAAAGACUAAUCGAACCAUCUAGUAGCUGGUUCCCUC
rnacentral:misc_RNA from 1 species